AUACAAUGAUGGUUGCAUAGUUCAGCAGAUUCUCAUGAAGAGAUGUACCAUUUUUCUGAUGUAUCU